CCUACGGGGAGCAGCAGUGGGGAAUAUUGGGCAAUGUGCGCAAGCCUGACCCAGCAACGCCGCGUGAAGGAAGCAGGCUUUCGGGUUGUCAACUUCUUUUCUGAGGGACGAAGAAAGUGACGGUACCUCAGGAAUACGCCACGGCUAACUACGUGCCAGCAGCCGCGGUAAUACGUAGGUGGCAAGCGUUAUCCGGAUUUAUUGGGGGUAAAGGGCGUGUAGGCGGGAAAGCAAGUCAGAUGUGAAAACUCAGGGCUCAACCCUGAGCCUGCAUUUGAAACUGGUUUUCUUGAGUGCUGGAGAGGCAAUCGGAAGUCCGUGUGUAGCGGUGAAAUGCGUAGAUAUACGGAGGAACACCAGUGGCGAAGGCGGAUUGCUGGACAGUAACUGACGCUGAGGCGCGAAAGCGUGGGGAGCAAACAGGAUUAGAUACCCUAGUAGUC
rnacentral:rRNA from 1 species